UAGCUCACUUGGUAGAGUGUUUGUCUAGGACACAUGAAGCCCUGGGUUUGAGUCCCAG
rnacentral:tRNA from 1 species